UAUCAAUAUAUAUAUAAAUAUCAUAUGAUGAUUGUACAUCAUCAUUCAAAUUAUUCAACAAAACAAUAUGUAACAAAACAACAAUAUUUAAUUCAAUUCAAUUCAAUUUUUUAAAUAAAUGCAUUUACAACACAUCAACUGUGAUAUGCUCUCUGAGCCCAGUACUGGGUUUCUAACCAUGAUCAUACUACAGUAUAUUCCAGACAGACUUGCUUUCUGCAGGAGUUUUCACACUGCACUGUCUAGAACGCACAGAAGAGGCAGCCCGAUGGCUCUUCAACCAGGUCUCAAACAGCCUCCUCUCCGACGGGGGCGGGGGGCAGAGCGGGCGUCGACGGUAACUGUACCGGUGUACGAUCGCUAACAUUAACUGCUGAGCUGCUGGCUGAUAUUGAUUCGCGAGGACGUUUGAAAUUGUCAAAUGAAAUUUUUGUUUGGAUAGCUCGCUUCAUUUUACCGGAUUAUUAUAGAAAAUCAUUUCAAGUAAACUUGUAAAAGUAAAUUUGUCUUUCGCGAUAUUUACUUCGGCAUGACCCGCCUUUCUCUCCCUCCGAUUGGCUCAUUCGUCGUCAUGCCUACAGUUAACCAAUCUAAUCAGUAAAGGCAGCGAGUAUUGGCCAAUAAGUUGCAGAGUAGCGUGGGUCAUGGCUUCACCGGGUAAAAGUGCGCGAUUUCGCUUGCAGAUACUACUGAAUGGUGCGCAUCUGGGGGGGUUUAGAAGUGGGUAUACGCAAUGCUGACUGAAAAAUAAGUGGGUAUACGCCGUAUACCCGCGUAUACCCUGGACUACACCACUGCAUGUACCCACCAUUGACUCCAAAAUGAUACUCUACUACAAUUGCCUAUUGAACCACACGCUGAAGUCCACCUCUAAAACUUUCACAUACUUUUCUUAAAGUAGUUUCACCUCCUCUCUUUGUUCUCACAUGCCACAUGCUCACAUCCCACUCAAAAUAGUGUUAAUUGUACUCUUUGGUCAGUAACAUUCUCAGAGUUAAAUGUACUUAUUGUGUAACCUAUUAAGAGCUGUAAAGUUGAAACUGGCCACCUUCAGAAUUUACACAGAUUUUUGACUCUGUUAGAGUAAUUUGAUUCUCCAUGGUGUUGUAAAUAGUCUAUCUGGAUUUAUUUACUAGUAGUAUUACUUAAAGGUGCACUAGGAUGGUGGAUUUCAGGGUCUGGUUCAACAGGAAAUCAAACACCUUGAAGAAUAACUUUUAAAUUCCAUGUUAGGUAAAGCUCCAUCAAACUGUAAAAGGUUCAGCACAUCCCUCUUGCCCCUCAAACGCUUCAAGAGAAAGCUAUGUAAGUCUCAUUUCCAGUAUUUGAUGGUUUGCUGUUCAUGCAUACCUUCAUGCACUCUGCUUUCUCUCCUCUUUCUUGCUGCACUUCAGCCAGUUUUUAAUAACUGCCUCGCAGUCGCUGGCCGAAAUGUUCUGGCUAGCCGAUGCACCUAAACAGAGAAAGUGUAUUUAUUUAGUUUAUUUAACAUUGAUUUAUUGAGGAGGAAAGAUCCUUUGAGAUUAGUAAUCCGUUUUUCAUGUCCUGGCCAAUAAUACAAAGGUACAAAGUGCAUUACAAGUGUUUAAUGACAAGAUGCAUGCAGUACACUCCAUGGUUAUUCAAAAGAAAUGAAUCCAUUUCAUAAUUCAUAGCUCAAUGAGUGAUUUGUUUACAUACCUCUUACUGCAUUGCACACCUUGUAGGAGGCAAAAGCCAGCUUCUUCCCUCCUCUGCCAAGCCAGUUGAAUUUCAGCGCGAAGUGGUUGGUGAGGAUGUGGCGAAGGAUUCUUCGAACCGCGUCACCAGGAUUGCAGCCCCCAAGCGCACUAAGGUGUGCUGCCUGCAGGGUGCUCCUGGUUUGGGCUUUUUUCAGGUUCAUACGCGCUGCAUCAUAAUUGGCUGUUGAAGACAACAAUGAAGUCUCAUCUGGCAUAGCGCUUUGGAUGACUGCAACUUUCGUCCACUUGGUGUCUUUAUACGGUGGCCAAAAAGACACCUUGCCAUCCAAACUUAGCCACGAGCAAGGCACAACCUCCACCUCGUUUGACUCGGUAAAAUGCACUACCGCAUACAUCUAAACAGAAAAUAAGUUUUGAAAAAGUUGAACACAUUGAAUUUAGAUAACCGAUUUAAUUGAUUGAAAUAUGAAUAAUUUUUAAAUUAAUUUAGUUGUGGUUGAGUGGAAAUGCCACAAGUUUGUUCUUGUAUUCUAACGUGACCAUCUUAAAGUCAAUAUCUUUAACGGCAAUUGACGUGGUCCCUUCUGCCAGGUUCCCAACCACAGCUGUCCCCAGUGCAGUUGAAUCAACAGGGUGGUUGAAAAAUGGACGUUGGUCUAAAUAUUGCCUCGCCACAAAAGACGUACCACCAAGUGUCCUGCUAAUUGCCUCUAUUUUAAAAGUGGCACCACCACACGAAACUGUGUUGUUCCCAUCCUUUGUGGACAGGGUAAUUCUAUCAGUGGCGUACUGUGUUGUUGAGGGUGAACUUUGGUUAUGGGAAGAUGGACAGACUGGGUUGAUGCUUGAUUUUUCCGUUAAUCGUUUAACAAUUUGUUGUAAUGUCUGGUUUGGCUUUCUAAUUAGUUUCUUUAAUUUAUACAAGACAUUUUCGAAGGGAAAGGCUGAAAUUUGGGGUAGUGGGCCAUAUUUUCUAACAUCACUUGCCAGGUGGAUAAAGCUGUGGACGUUAUACACCAGAAAGUCCCCAUAGAUGGCGUGAAAAUUCUGAACGAACACUACCAGGAGAUUUUCCGCAUAGUCACAAUAACGGUGAUGGAGACGGGGGGAACAUAAAAUUGUAAUUGCUACGUGGAGUAACAGAAAAUGUUGAUACAUGUGUUUUGGUAGUUUUUUUUUUAAUGCAAUGGUGCCAGUGUAUAGUAAAAAAGUCCUAAAUUCAGUGGCCUUCCACCGAUCAACCUCACGGAGGGACCUUCCCUUGUGUUCAAACUCCUUUUGCAGCCUCUUGCCCAAUUUGAUUAAGUUCUCUGAAAUAAUGCAGAUGGAUUGACUCCCAAUGCGGGUUGGAAGGGGCCCUCUCUGCCACAGCCAGAUCAACUUUCUCAUCACUCCUAGGGACACCAGGUGCAUAAAGUCCAGCACAAAUUGGGUCACCAAGCCUACAUCUAGGUAUUGUAAUGGACUGUCGCCCUCUUUGUGAUGUUCCUGGUUGACUUUUGUGGCAAAACUGUCAUCGGUUCUGAGAACCGCAUCUGUUUCGGAGUAAUUUAGGCGUUGGUUCGCCCAUGAGCCCUCUUGCAUGCACCUUUCGCAGCCGUAAUAGGAAUUGUGUGCUUUUAUGUUUUUUAGAAAUGCCCUUGCCGGUGCAUCACAGACAAAACAGGAAAUUUCGAAUUUAAUUUUUUUGGACUGAUACUCCAAGCCAUCAGAUGCAAGCUUCCCCAUCUCUGCCAUAAAGUCAGAGAGUUACUCGCUUGCAUCGGUUGGCUUGGAGUAUCCACAAUAUAAACCAAUUAGAAAUGGGGAUCUAAUGGGGUCCUCUUCAAUUAGUGCAAGAAUUGGCCAAAAUUGCUGGCUGCUGCUUUUAAAAAGGGGCAGGCCAUCCACAUUUAUUUGUAGUUUUAGUGUUUGGUUUUUAGCUAAGUCCUGUUCUUGCAUUCGGCCCAAGAUCCCUUUUGCCACACCAAAAUAGUGCAUGUUCCCCCCAGCUUUUGGUACUAUCUCCGCAUAAGUAGGGGUUGACAGGAGAGUGCGGCCGUCUUUUGGCAGUUUGGAAUCUGGGAAGUGCUUGCGAAGCACGGAGAGCAGGCUGAAAAUGUGGGAAAUUUGUGUAUUUGUUGUGAUUGCCCAUUCCUUGAGCUCAUGUCUUAAGUCCCUUUGAAAACUGCCCCCCUCCUCUGAAUCUGAGCCACUGCUAGAGCUCGACAAAUCAUUGAACUCCCAGUCAUCCUCGCCAGAGGAGGUGCUCUCCUCUGAUGCCAUUACCCAAUCCCCAUCUCCGCUUUCAAUUGCGUCGUCGUUGUCUAUUUCGGUGUAAGCUGGGACACUUGGUGGUGUAUCUAAUGUGUCUGCGCCAGCGGCCAGGUUAAAGUGAGUGGGCCCGCUAGCAUGAAGCGCUGCCAACGCAGCAUCCGUUCCUCUUUUAACAUGCCUUCGCAGCGACCUCUUUGAUAAAAUUAUUUUACUCUCUGCCAUUUUUUGUAAUUUUGCUGUCGUAAGAGGUAGGCUAUAAUUGAAUUAUUUUGUAGCGGCUAGACGGUAACCCGGCUGGCGGCUAGCUACAGUUGUUAGCGAAUUUGUGUACAACAUUACGACUAGCUCUUGCAAUUUAGCCGGUACUUUGUCAAACGGGUGGGGUUUGCCUUACCUUGGCUAAGUGAACCGGUUUACUUGUUUUGUUUUUUGGUAUUGAAUGCCGUGUUUACUGGACGAUGUGAAGUUGUGGGCAUCAAAUUUGGUUGUUGGCAGGCAGCUGACGGUUAUUUUUUGUUGUUAUAUGGUCGCAAGCUUUGUUGGCAGGCAGCUGACGGUUAUUUUUUGAUGUUAUAUGGUCGCGAGCUUAUUGCUGUUAUUGUUGCAUAUCAUAUCAGUUUGGACCCGUUUCUCUAAAAAGAAAACAUGCUACAUCAGGGGUCCUGUACUGAUGAAGCAAUAAAGUAGUGUUAUCAGGGUAGCACCAGUGCUAUCUUGUACUCAUUUCCCUAAUAUGUGGUUUAUCCCCCCCUGGUUUAUCUGUCCCUACUCCCCCAAUCCCUUAACCUCCCCAUCUACCAAUACU